ensembl:lncRNA
AGGCUGCUCUUCUCAGACCGAGGGGGCUGUCGUCACACUCCCACCCAGGUAGUUGGAAGUGUGACACUCUGCCUGUGUGCCAGCUCCACCAAGACGGCAAAUGCUGCACAGCCACUGACAGUAGAUGUGGUCAUCUGGAUGGGACUGGUGACGACAGCCUUGUGAAGGAGCCGAGGGCAACAGUGCUAACUCUGGACUAUGAUCCUGUACAAAACAAGUGUACUUUGCCAGUACGGUACUGAAGCAGAUUGACCGGGCUGAUUUGGACUGAGUCCUGGGAAGUUCUGCUCACUGAGGGGUUGGACUCACCAAAGGGCCUGGCUGUGGACUGUGUCAACUGCAAGCUUUACUGGACUGACUGAGGGUGGAUUGUGUAUUCUAGGGUUUAGUACUGGGGCCAAUGCUAUUAUCAGAAUUUAAA